rnacentral:misc_RNA from 1 species
CAAAAAUGGCGACUGUGUUUGACAACGUGCUCCUCGCGACUUGGAGCGAAAAUGGUCAGUUCGACUGCACAUCGGAGGUCCCAUAUCGAAUGGAAAUAUCACGGCAAACUGAAAGUAUAGUGUUAUCAUUUUACAAUGGCCAAGUAGAAGCAUCCACGGUGACCAUCAACAAAGACACAGAGUUUUCACGGCUGGGGAAGAUGGGCGUUAAUGUCACUAAUGAGGGGACAUCACUCCUAGUCCGAUUCUCCAGUAUACAUGCAAUGAAGGCCUGCCUACAUAAACUAAAGGAAUACAAGAACGGGACCAAGUCUGUGUUUAAUGACAGAACAGAUGAAGCAUCAGCUGUCCAGUACUUCCAGUUCUAUGGCUACCUGUCCCAGCAGCAGAACAUGAUGCAGGACUACAUCCGUACAUCCACCUACCAGAGAGCCAUGCUGGCCAACAUCGCAGACUUCCAGGACAAGGUUAUUCUGGAUGUUGGCGCCGGGUCAGGAAUUCUGUCAUUUUUCGCUAUCCAGGGUGGUGCUAAGAAAGUGUAUGCCAUUGAAGCCAGCAGUAUGGCCCAACACUGUGAGACCCUGGUAGCAACCAACAACUUGUCCAAUCGUAUAGUUGUCAUCCCUGGCAAAGUUGAGGAAGUGGAGGUGCCGGAGCAGGUGGACCUGAUCAUCUCUGAGCCCAUGGGGUACAUGCUGUUUAAUGAGAGGAUGCUGGAGAGCUUUCUGCAUGCCAAAAAGUGGCUGAGACCAGGAGGAAAAAUGUACCCGUCACAAGGGGACCUGCAUAUAGCACCAUUCACAGACGAAUCACUAUACAUGGAACAGUAUUCCAAGGCGAAUUUCUGGUAUCAAGAGUCAUUCCAUGGCGUGAACCUUACAAGUUUACGAAAUGCUUCUGUAGAAGAAUAUUUUAAGCAGCCUAUUGUUGAUACUUUUGACAUCCAUAUAUGCAUGGCCAAGUCCAACAAGUACGUUGUGGACUUCCAGACGGCAGACGAGAACGACCUUCACGUGAUGGAGAUUCCAGUGACUUUCAGCAUGAUGUCCACUGGGAUGGUCCAUGGAUUGGCCUUCUGGUUUGAUGUCGCCUUCUUUGGCUCCGAGAAUACUGUGUGGCUGUCGACAUCUCCAACCGAACCUCUGACUCACUGGUAUCAGGUACGGUGUCUGGUGCAGUCCCCCGUCCUAGUCAAGCAGGGGCAAACCCUCACGGGGAAGGUGACACUCACAUGCAAUACCAGGCAAAGUUAUGAUGUUGAUAUUGAACUAAACAUACCGGGGACUUCAAGCAAGUCUACCAACACGCUAGAUUUAAAGAAUCCAUUCUUCCGCUACACUGGUCAGCCACCACAGCCUCCACCAGGCUGCAACUCCGCAUCUGCCACAGAUGUGUACUGGAAUACACUCGCUACAGGUGAGUUCGCCUCGUCCGCCUUCGGCCGUAGCUCAUCCUCUGCCAGAGAUAUGACCUGGAAAACUCUAUCAGCAGGUCAGACCUCGACGUACAUGAACGGCUUGAUGAAUGGUGUUGUGGACCAGGGCCAGACCCUGCCCCAGCAGGGUGGAGCUGUACAGACCAAUCUUAUAGCACGAAUGUCGUUGCCCCUAUCAACCCUGGCAGUAUUCCAAGCGUAGGGAGCCAAGUGUCGAAUUCUAACGCACACCGGACAUCCAUUGGUGGUGGUAUAAGUCCAAUCAACUUCACAAACUCUCAGAACGUGAUCAGCGGUGGGAUGGCACACUACCCUGUAAGUCAGCAGUUCAUGAUUGGCGACUAUGUGAUGCCUGGCAACGUCGUGGUGCCCACGACAACAGCAGUGGCCUCUGUAUAGUUUUCACAGGAG